AGUGGGGAAUAUUGGACAAUGGGGGAAACCCUGAUCCAGCAACGCCGCGUGGAGGAUGAUGCAUCUAGGUGUGUAAACUCCUUUUAUAAGGGAAGAUAAUGACGGUACCUUAUGAAUAAGCACCGGCUAACUCCGUGCCAGCAGCCGCGGUAAUACGGGGGGUGCAAGCGUUACUCGGAAUCACUGGGCGUAAAGGGCGCGUAGGCGGGUUGUCAAGUUCCGUGUGAAAUCCAACAGCUUAACUGUUGAACUGCUUGGAAAACUGACAGCCUAGAGUGAGGGAGAGGUAGAUGGAAUUGGUGGUGUAGGGGUAAAAUCCGUAGAUAUCACCAGGAAUACCCAUUGCGAAGGCGAUCUACUGGAACUCAACUGACGCUGAGGCGCGAAAGCGUGGGGAGCAAACAGGAUUAGAUACCCUGGUAGUCCACGCCCUAAACGAUGAACACUAGUUGUUGCCUUGCACGUCAAGGCAGUAAUGCACCUAACGGAUUAAG
rnacentral:rRNA from 1 species